rnacentral:rRNA from 1 species
AACGAACGCUGGCGGCAUGCCUAACACAUGCAAGUCGAACGAGACCUUCGGGACUAGUGGCGCACGGGUGCGUCACGCGGGGGAACCUGCCCUUAGGUUCGGAAUAACUCCCCGAAAGGGGUGCUAAUACCGGAUAAUUUCUUCGGACCAAAGAUUUAUCGCCUUUGGAUGGGCACGCGUUGGUUUAGCUAGUUGGUAGGGUAAAAGCCUACCAAGGCGACGAUCCAUAGCUGGUCUGAGAGGAUGAUCAGCCACACUGGGACUGAGACACGGCCCAGACUCCUACGGGAGGCAGCAGUGGGGAAUAUUGGAAAACGGGCGAAAGCAUGAUCCAGCAAUGCCGCGUGAGUGAUGAAGGCCUUAGGGUUGUAAAGCUCUUUUAUCCGGGAUGAUAAUGACAGUACCGGGAGAAUAAGCUCCGGCUAACUCCGUG